rnacentral:rRNA from 1 species
AUUGAACGCUGGCGGCGUGCUUAGCACAUGCAAGUCGUGCGGUAACAGGCGUAGCAAUACGUGCUGACGAGCGGCGAACGGGUGCGUAAUACAUGGGAAUCUGCCUUUUAGUGGGGAAUAACCCGGCGAAAGCCGGGCUAAUGCCGCAUAAGAUCUUCGGAUGAAAGCGGGGGAUCGUAAGACCUCGCGCUGAUAGAUGAGCCCAUGCCGGAUUAGCAGUUGGUGAGGUAACGGCUCACCAAGGCGACGAUCCGUAGCUGGUCUGAGAGGACGGCCAGCCACACUGGGACUGAGACACGGCCCAGACUCCACGGGAGGCAGCAGUGGGGAAUAUUGGACAAUGGGGAAACCCUGAUCCAGCGACGCCGCGUGUGUGAAG